CAGUCGCCGCGGUAAUACGAAGGGUGCAAGCGUUAAUCGGAAUUACUGGGCGUAAAGCGCGCGUAGGUGGUUUGGUAAGAUGGAUGUGAAAUCCCCGGGCUCAACCUGGGAACUGCAUCCAUAACUGCCUGACUAGAGUACGGUAGAGGGUGGUGGAAUUUCCUGUGUAGCGGUGAAAUGCGUAGAUAUAGGAAGGAACACCAGUGGCGAAGGCGACCACCUGGACUGAUACUGACACUGAGGUGCGAAAGCGUGGGGAGCAAACAGGAUUAGAUACCCGUGUAGUCCCUGUCUCUUAUAU
rnacentral:rRNA from 1 species